rnacentral:rRNA from 1 species
UACAGAGGUCCCAAGCGUUGUUCGGAUUCACUGGGCGUAAAGGGUGCGUAGGCGGUCGGGUAAGUCUGAUGUGAAAUCUCACAGCUUAACUGUGAAACUGCAUUGGAUACUAUCCGGCUCGAGGAAUGGAGGGGAGACUGGAAUACUUGGUGUAGCAGUGAAAUGCGUAGAUAUCGGGAGGAACACCUGUGGCGAAAGCGGCUCACUGGACCGCAACUGACGCUGAGGCGCGAAAGCUAGGGGAGCAAACAGG